AGGGUAUUCCGCUGAUUUCAGGGCCCAAGGUGCUGAGUGUCUUCGGAAUGUGAGAGCAAGCCGAGAAGGGUAAUUUUCAUGGCACCAGA
rnacentral:SRP_RNA from 1 species